AACGAACGCUGGCGGCAUGCCUAACACAUGCAAGUCGAACGAGAUCUUCGGGUCUAGUGGCGCACGGGUGCGUAACGCGUGGGAAUCUGCCCUUUGGUUCGGAAUAACAGUUGGAAACGACUGCUAAUACCGGAUGAUGACGAGAGUCCAAAGAUUUAUCGCCAGAGGAUGAGCCCGCGUAGGAUUAGCUAGUUGGUGUGGUAAGGCGCACCAAGGCGACGAUCCUUAGCUGGUCUGAGAGGAUGAUCAGCCACACUGGGACUGAGACACGGCCCAGACUCCUACGGGAGGCAGCAGUGGGGAAUAUUGGACAAUGGGCGAAAGCCUAAUCCAGCAAUGCCGCGUGAGUGAUGAAGGCCUUAGGGUUGUAAAGCUCUUUUACCCGGGAUGAUAAUGACAGUACCGGGAGAAUAAGCUCCGGCUAACUCCGUGCCAGCCGCCGCCGUAA
rnacentral:rRNA from 1 species